GCUGGGUGUAGAGAUACACACCUGUAAUCCCAGCAGCUCGGGAGGCUGAGGCAGGAGGAUUGUGAAUUCAAAGCCAGCCUCAGCAAAGGCAAGGGACUAAGCAACUCAGUGAGACCCUGCCUCUA
rnacentral:sRNA from 1 species